AAAAAAUUAUUAAAAAAAAAAAGGUUAUGUCUGACUCAUACCGAGGCUGAAAUGAAACGUCAGCCACUGUGAAAUGUGAAUGGAAGAUCCAAACCAUGAUUCCACCGCCACCGCUACCAGCGGCGCCACCGGCACAACAACCGCCGCUGUUAACUGGGACGAUCUCCCUGAGCAUCUCAUCCUCCACAUCCUUUCUUUCCUGCCCACCCUAGACACUAUCACAACGAGUUUGGUCUCCAAAAAAUGGUGCCCUCUCUGGUCAUUAAUUCCCUCCCUAAACUUCUCCUACUCUGAUUUCCCUCCCUACAAU
rnacentral:misc_RNA from 1 species